AUACAGGGGGGUAUUCCCUUACAUUGCAAAGUGCACAGCUUUCUGCACCAGCCGGAAUAAUUCUAGUUAUGUAGGGUGUCAGAUCCGAUCCAAAAGUCGAACACGAGAUGGCGCGCGCGAGCUAGAUUAAACAUUGCUCGAGAAGAAAUGUGGUCGAGCGAGCAGAGGACGGGUUCAGGGAGCGUAGACCGGUGUGGUGCGCACAUAUUACAGUUGAGAGUUUACGAGUGAGUGAGCAGAACUUCAUUCCCGGACGUAUUAAAUUAGUUUUUUUUUUUUUUGUUAACCUGAAUAAAUAUUUUCUACAUAUCGAGAUUCAGAAAUUACUGCACUCACAAAUACGGGGGACUACCAACUAAUUGUAUGCCUUAAUUAAACAACUCUGCACAUAUGUAUCGCUCCACCUUCCUCAAUCUCCAUUGUCAUACUUUUGUUUACCUUUUUACCAAUGUCUAUGGAUUGUACAAGGAUUUUAAUUUGGGAGUUAAAGUAAAAAGCCGAGGCAUGGGGCUGGGGACAUGUAACCGCUCUCAAUUUCAUAGACCGCGUUAUGGAUGCAAGGACUGACCAUCACUGGCCUCCUUACACCCCCAUAAGAGAUGACCCAAAGUUCCUUGCCUAAGACCUCCAUUGGGUUUUGAAAAGGAAGUGAAGAGUUGAGCAAAGAUUCAUUGGGACAGGGCUUAUGUCAAAUGAUACAAUUCUGUUCUAAAUGACCGAGUCCAUCCUCACCACCUCCAUCACUGCAACGGAUUGUCUGGUCUGCUGAGAGGGUCAUUGGCUGUCCUGCACGAAUCGAAGGCAAAGAAGUGUGCUGGGAAGUUCAUUGCCGACCCCUUCCACCCCCUCUUUCAAACAUUCCCCUCUGGCAAAACCUCCUGCCACAGAACAGUUUCUUCCCCUUUGUCAUUGGCCCUCACCAACUGUCCACCUGGUCCUCUCAUCCAUGGACUUUGCACUAUUCAUCCACAGACUAUGUACCUUACACUCUCCUAUUAUAUGCAUCAUUUAGCAUGUGUUUACAUUUGAGCCAUUUAGCUGACACUCUCAUCCAGAGCGACAUACAGGUAGCAAAUAGGGUAAAGUGCCUCGCCAAAGUGCACAUAGACAGAUUUUUCAGUCUGCUUGAGAUUUGAACCAGCGACCUGGAAGAACAGCCCAAUGCUCUGAAACCUGUAGGCUAUCUGCAGUUUGAAGUGUACAUACUGUAUGUGGAUAUUUUAUUUUUGUCUGUAUAUUCUUUUUGUGGCAGCACCAUUUCAGUCAAGUUCCUGAACAUGCCAAUGUAUUUGUUGAAUAAAGCUGAUUCAGUUUA